rnacentral:lncRNA from 10 species
GUCUUGGAGAGUCGCCUUUAGGAGCGCUCGAAAAGGCCACGGGCCCUAGGAUUUGUUUGACGGAAAGCUCAAAGAAGAGUGGAGCUAAGAAGGGCUUCCCAGGCUCUGGGGGAAAGCCGAAGACGCGAGAUCCUAGGCUCAGUCGAUCCUGCCUCUUCCCUUGGGCGCAUUGUGACCUAAGGGGAUUCAGUGCCCUUUCUGAGCCUCAGUUUUCCCCUCUAAAAUGGGGCUGGCUAAUGUUCCCAAGCCCAAGAAAGAGAAAAGCCCUAACACCAGGGGCUGGGGAGUCCAGUCCGAAGCCUUCUUCAGCCUCCUAGGCCUGCCCCGCUUCCAAAUAACCCCUAGCGGGGUAGCGUCACUGUCUCCAUGGAGACAGGGGCCCGCCCCCGCCUUAAUCCCUCUCCACCUCUGCAUAAUGGGGAAAAUAGCACUGCAUGAUGACAAAUUCCGGAGACCAAAAUAGGGUCCAACGCAUCCUGAGACCUCGAGCUGGUAACGUACAGGGAAGGUGAACAGUGAGUCAGCCCUUCCUUCCGCUAAGUCAACAUAGUGGCCUUAUUCCCAUCACUCCAGGCUGGGAAAGGACAAACAUACAAGAAAUGCUUUUAAUCACGGAAUAAGACUAAGCCUCAAGCCCCCUCAUCUGCCAAAGAGUGUGCUCUGCUGUCAAACCUCAAAGUCAUUGAGAAACAAACCCUGAUAAUCUCACCCAGCUUCAAGACCAAGGGAGUCCUAGUGUCAUGGAGAAGAGCAAGGAGGGGCCCAGGGCUGCCGCAGGACAUGCCACUCCAGACAGAACUCAACUUCCCUAGUGACUAUUGGCUAUCCAACCUCUCCUCCAGCACAGCAAGCAGAUGACAAUACUUGCAAGACAUGAUGUGUUAAAUUAAAAAACAUAGUCUAUUUAACAAAUUCUUUUAUAAAUUUUUCUGGAUUCUCUGGCCAAAUUUUUCCUUGUAUAAAACUAAAUCACACAUAGAAAAUG